GAUGAACGCUGGCGGCGUGCCUAAUACAUGCAAGUCGAGCGAACGGAUGAGAAGCUUGCUUCUCUGAUGUUAGCGGCGGACGGGUGAGUAACACGUGGAUAACCUACCUAUAAGACUGGGAUCACUUCGGGAAACCGGAGCUAAUACCGGAUAAUAUUUUGAACCGCAUGGUUCAAAAGUGAAAGACGGUCUUGCUGUCACUUAUAGAUGGAUCCGCGCUGCAUUAGCUAGUUGGUAAGGUAACGGCUUACCAAGGCAACGAUGCAUAGCCGACCUGAGAGGGUGAUCGGCCACACUGGAACUGAGACACGGUCCAGACUCCUACGGGAGGCAGCAGUAGGGAAUCGUCCGCAAUGGGCGAAAGCCUGACGGAGCAACGCCGCGUGAGUGAUGAAGGUCUUCGGAUCGUAAAACUCUGUUAUUAGGGAAGAACAUAUGUGUAAGUAACUGUGCACAUCUUGACGGUACCUAAUCAGAAAGCCACGGCUAACUACGUG
rnacentral:rRNA from 1 species